rnacentral:rRNA from 1 species
UACGGAGGGUGCAAACGUUGCUCGGAAUCAUUGGGCGUAAAGCGCACGUAGGCGGUCCAGUAAGUCGGGUGUGAAAGCCCUCGGCUUAACCGAGGAAGUGCAUUCGAAACUGCUGGACUUGAAUACUGGAGAGGAUCGCGGAAUUCCCGGUGUAGAGGUGAAAUUCGUAGAUAUCGGGAGGAACACCAGUGGCGAAGGCGACUACCUGGCCUGUUCUUGACGCUGAGGCGCGAAAGCUAGGGGAGCAAACGGGG